ACGACGACCAUGAAGAUCCUGUCCAUCCAAUGCCUGGAUGGCGCUAGAGGCCUCCUCACUGGAUGUGUAAGUAACAAAGCCAAAUCCUCUAGAUCUACCAGUUUCUCGAUCCAGAAUGAUUCUUGCUUCAAUCACCUCGCCAUAUUUACUAAAAGCUUCCUUCAGGGAAGUGUCAUCUGUGGCAUAAGAAACACCUCCAACAAAAAGUUUCGAAGAAGACAUCCAUCGUAUUGCUUGAUAGAGGGAUGGCCUGGAUGCAGAAAGUUCAUUAUUGAUCUGGUUGCUGGUUGUCUGCCUCAGUAUACUCCCAACUUUACUAAGAAAAGCCAUUGCAAUAUCCUUAUAAUUGCUUCUCUCUCUUUCACCCUGUGCGGAGCGGAGAGACAAAAACCCUAUUUU
rnacentral:misc_RNA from 1 species